ACCCACUGUCUGCGCAGAGGGACGGGUCAACGGCACAGACAAGGGGACAGCACUCAGUCCUUCAACAGGAAGGACGUUCUGACAUUUGCCACAAUGUGACGGACUUGAGGACCCGAGGCUGCGUGCCACGAGCGGUCACCAGACGACAAAUCCUGUGUGAUCCACAUACCUGAGGGACGCGGAGGAGUCAACGCAGAGACAGGAAACACGUUCAGCUCAAUGGUCCACGAAAUUCUUCACAGACACAUCGCGCCGCGACCACACCGCGCCACGCCGCGACCACGGAGACCUCCCGGUAACGACACACCAGAUCGGCGGUUCUCAUGUUGGUCAUCUCGAGGCUGGUUAAACUCGAGGGCAGGAAUAGCCCGUUACGGCUGGGAGAGUAGUGAGUUGAAGCUAAGAACUGUUAAAUAAUUUGAGUCCGUAAUGCAGUAGAACACGAUCUGAAAUGCCUAAGAGGAGAAACAAAUGCAUCCGAUUACCGGGGAACUUAGAGCAGUAACGGACGUUCACUUGAAUAAAGAGCCAAUCCCCGGCCACCGGGGGGUAAGGAAAGGCCAGUGGCGCCUUCGGGUCCUGAGCUCCAGCAGGAAGAGCCCCUGGGGGUGGCCGGGAUCGGCACCUGCGUGGGAACACGGCCCUUUCAGAAGUAAAUCGUGCGGCACCACACGGGCCCGAAGAUUCCACCUCGCCCUCCCCAAAAUGUCUGUGAGCAUCGCACCUGGGUCCCUGGGACCGCGGAGCCCAGGCUGGCCGCAGAGCCGCUCCAGGACUUGGGGCUGAAGUGAGGGAGUCAAGCCCACCCUCAUGAAAAUCGGGAGCGAAAGGCUGCUUUCCUGGCAAAAUAGGAAUUGCCAGACUCAGCCGUCGAAGUACACCGAAGUUCGGCUUCCACGGGAGAAGCUCGGAGUGGGGGUGAGGACCAGCCCGCCUGGACAGUGUGUAACUCUUGAAGAGCUGUUUCCAUCCUGUGUAAACGCGGCCACAGAGAGAGACGGGAAGCCUCCUCUAAUUUAGGAAAACGUGACCCCAUGAAGACAGCCCAGGGGAGUGAUGUGUGCCUGCAGACAUGAGCUUUCCCGACUCAGCGGUCCCCGCGCCGUGUCCGGUCUCCGCACACUGCCACCGAACCACGUCCAUGCCAGCAGUGCGAGCGCGGCUUGGGAGCAGGACGCCACCAGUGCCAAGAAGGAGCACAGGCAGGAGGAAGGGUGCAGAGACCCCGAGAUGCGGACCCUGAGACGGGUGGCCUGAGCCCGGGGUCAGCAGAGGUGGGCGUGGCGGCGGGAGCGUGGGGACCAGCGCCAAGGGGAUCAGAAGAGCGUGGUGAGGCAGAAAGUCAGGCCAAUCCCAGGGACGCCACCCUGGACCCCACUGGCAUCCCUCCUCUGCUCCAGGCCACACGCCCGAGGAAGGGAGCCGGCGGGCCUUCCUGGGCUCGGAGCCCACCCUGGGCAGAGACAGGGCCAGCUGCCCCAUGGCCGGGGCCAGGAGUUCAGGCAGCGGACGGGCAGUUCAGAGAUGACCCCUCUGCCCCGUCCUCUCCUGCCCCUCCAAGGCGGCAGGCAAACCGGCCAGGCAGGCUUAGCUGAGAUCACACCGGCCAGGCUUACGCUGGGGUCCCAUGUGGGCCGUGGUGUGAGUCUUCGGUGGCCCACGAUGAAUGGUGGAGAAGCAGAACGGCUGAAGAACCGGACGCCGCUCGUGCCUCCGUCCCUCCCCAAGAUGCUGGGUGUACAUUUGCCAAAACCACAAACGUCUCGCUCGAGGCCCAAGAACACCGUCGCACUCAACUAAACCAAGAUGAGUCCUUCUGUGACGUCUGAUCUCUGGCUCGUGUUCAUCUCCCACACGGCCCAGACCAUUAUCUUCAGCCCAUCCCUGCGAGGGGGGACUCGACCCAGCCCACACACAUGGUCGCCGUUGACCCCGGAGGCAUAGUGUCCGGGCCGCGCCAGGGACGGGCCAGCUGUGCCCACGGCCAGGUUUGCUGCCGCUGGUGUCCCGUCGCGGACCCCAGGCGAACCGUGCUGGCGAGAGCGCCCAGCAGCUGGCGUCAGCGUGAGGAGCCCUGUCCCCUGUCCCCUGUCCCCGAGGGGAGACGAGAUGUGGUCUUCGCCCACCCGGGCUCAAGCCCAGGUUCAGGACCAACCGGGGAUUUCAGGUUAGGCCCUGAAACUGACCCGGUGACUCGGACGGAAACGAAUACAUCACUUCCUUCCCAAAGGAGAAGGGUUAUGCCACCAGAACCCAGGCCUGCGACUGAAGUGAUGGGAGUCAGAAGCCCCAUAACUCCCUCCUUCUCAGCGUCUCUGGAAGAAAGCUGAUCCGGCUUCCACACCAGAGACACUCGGCCGGAAACCAGUCACGGCUCUGGGUCAGUGCUGGGCACUCGGACACCUUCCCCUCGGCCACCCGGCCCUCACUGCCCUUCCCCUCUUCUGGCGACACCCGUCUGGGGCCCCAGCCCUACUGCUGGGGUCUCCUGGCCGCAGCCCCAGUCCCAGGCGGUGUGUCACAGGAUCCCCAGGCCCACACACGGUGCCAGUUCCAUCAGGGGUUCCAGUUGGGAAACCCUGGCACAGAGCGAGCACACGGCCCCACAGGGUGGGCCCCGCAGAAGCACCCCCUGCUCACUCGGCUUCCAGAGAAAGAGCCCCCACCUAUCGGGAGAUGAGCCCGGGACAGGGAGGUGCGGGACCGUGCACGGCAUGACUGGGGUGUGGGCCCUGUGGGACCCAUGUCUCCAGGAAGCCCCUGGCCCUGCCUUCCCUGUGGGGAAAGGGGGGCAGGUCUCCAGGGGCAUUUUGGGGUCCAGGCAGGCUCCACCUCCCCGGGUACCCCUGCCCAGGCUCUCAGCUCUCCCCUGCUCAGCAGGGUCGCGGGCUCAGGAGCCCCUUGAGCUCCUAGGCUGCCUGGGGAGGGAGGGGCAUGUGUGCGUGCGAGGCCAGGCGGGCUGCCCCCCCCCACGGACGCACACACACGCACACGCAGAUGCACACGCGUGCGGCGUCCGGAGCCCGGCAGUUGGGCGCGAGAAAGCGCGGUUCUGGCGAGGCCGGCGCUAAGCACGAGGGACUGGGGCAGGGACAGCGGCACCUGUGGGCCCCGGGCUGGGACUGGAGGAGAGGGCAGUGUGGAGUGUGUGAGCCUGGUGUGCGCCUGGCGGUGUGGCCCACGGACAGUGGCCGGGACCCAGGGAGCCAGCACCCACGUCCAACGGCUCCGCAGGUGACCAGUGCCCGUCGCUUCGGGGACGCACUGCAGAGAGCAGGGCUCCGGCGGCCGGGCAGGAAGCCGACAAGCCCCCGCUUCCAAGGGCCUGGGCAGGAGGACUUCCAGGCUGGCACGCGCGAUCUCCACCCGUGCCACUCCCACGACCACGCGGCCUGCAGCCAAAGGGUCCUAAAGAUACGAGUCGGUGACGCACGCGCCGCCCUUCCCGGGGGAGGCUCUCCGGAGGGCCUGGCCUCCUCACCGAAGCCCGCGAGAGCACAGCCGUCUCCGGGAGGCACAGAAGGGCCAGGCAGGCUUCUGCGCGCCCCGUGCUGGCUGGAGGCAAGGCCCGCAGGGGCGGCCCUGGGACAGGAGGACGGAAACAGGGCCCACGGCCCUUCCGCCCCAGCGCCUGGAUCCCGCCGCACCCGCCUCGGCCUGGCGAAUGGAGCACGGGGCCCCUGCGCUGGACCUCUGCCCGCAGGCGGGGUGAAAAGGCCCGUGUGGGUUCUUCCCAUCUACUUGUUUAUUUGUGCCGUGCUAAAACACAAAUAAGGAAAUUCACCAUUUUAUGGACUUUAAAUGCACGACUCAGCGGCCUCAAGUACAUUCGCGGUACUGGGAGCACCGCUUCUGUCUGGUGUCAGACCUCUGGAAACUCGCCUGGAGAAAGUCGUGCGUCUUGGCCAGAGGCCACGGGGAGCGGCGGGAAGUCCCUGCUGCCCGUUCACCAGCCAGGCCAACGUGCAGCCCGUUUCCUCCCGGCAAGCCCCACCUGUGUUUACUUUCUCCAGGCUGCCUGGGGAAACUCCACACCCAGCCCCCCAGGCAGCUCGCGGGAGAACAUUCCAGUGCUGCAAACCUCGGGCUCCCCGAGGACGUGAGCCUGGGGACACUCUAGGGUGUGCUAGCUGGUGGGGGACGGGAAGGCAUCUGCUCUGCUCUCGACCUGGGGCACCGGGGGCCAGCAGGUCACCUUCCCCAGCCACUCCUGGGCAUCCUGGCUGCCACCCGAGGCCCAGGAGUUUUCCAGGAGAGGAGCUGGACUCCAGGUAGGUGGGGAGGGUGGGGUGCCGGUGUACCCGUGGCUCUUUGUGGCAGGGGUGCACUGGCCAGGGCUGCGGGCACUGCCUCCAGGCCAGACGCCCGCCAGGCUACGGAAACCAGACUUUCUCCAGCACCUGCCACCUGGCCGCAGGCCAGGGUCCAAAUACACAAGCUUCCUUCCCAGAGAGGAGUUCCUGUUUCUGCAAAACGGAGCGGCUCUCUCCAAUCCCGCCGCGAAUCCAUCCACCCACACAAAUGUGAAUGGACGAUCAUAAUUCUGCAGAGGCAGGUGCCCCCAACGAGCCUCGGUGGCCUCGGGUCAGGAGCACUACCGUCCAGCACAUGGCAUUGGCCACAUGUCUUCCCCUUCCUGGAGACAGACAGACAUCGGGAGUGGCCGUGGGGUGGGUGAGGGCCGGGGGCCUUCUGGUUCCUCUUUGUCCACACCAAGGCUCAUGCUAGAAUCUUCUUUCUGGCCAUCAAAUAACGGGAGGAAUUAGCCACAGCCACACCCGCCCCUUCAAGUCGGCACGUGCCAGCUUUCUUAUUUGAGACGUUUUCACCUCUCCAAGAACCCAAAUGAAGGUCUGGCCCCGCCCUCUGCACUCAGGACACCGCCCGGCCACCCUCACCCCAGGGAAGGGCCCGUGCGUCCCCGGCUGGCGGGACGGCGUCGGGGAUAUAGGCAGCAUCCAGCUGCAUGGGGCGAACCCGGUUGCCGCUGUGAGGUCCGACCACCCAUGCAGACGUGCAUGGUUCCCACCCACCUCUCCACGGCUCUGAAGCUCGACGCCGACGUGAAGCUGUCACUUAGUGCCGCUGUGGGUUUGAUCUGGGGAAGCUGUCCUAAGCGACACCGGGCUUCCUGUCACAGCCCCACAUGGGAGCACGCGCUGUGCUCAGAGAGACACACCUUACACUUGGGGCCUGGCUGUCGGCUCCCGGCCCGCUGCUCCCGGCUCCCGGCUCCCUGCUCCCGGCUCCCGGCCCAAGGGAGCCCCGUGGAGAAUGCAUGGGAAAAACCGUGCUGUCUCUCCAGAAGACUGUGCGCGUGCAGGACACAUGGGGCACGCGGGACACACGGGGCCAGAGCACGGACGGCCCCGGGCACGGGCACGGGCAGCACAGGGCAGGCGGGAGCCCGCGCCUGGAGCAGGCGCGGGGUCUCCCACAGGCAGUCGUAAAGGUGCAUCCUCCGAGUUCCUCCCGAGCUGGUCAUCUCAAGGGAAUCCAACGGUGUCCCUCUAAUGAUGACACACCGCAGUCCUGGCCCCGUGGGGAGGCUGCCUCGGGAAGAAGCAACGUGCUCUACCACUGAAUGGGAGUCGGGGACCUUCCUCGCCUGAGUGAGGCCCCCAUGGCACUGGUCGUCCAAUUGUCCUCUGCCAGGCUUGACACCCACUUUCCACGGGGCCAGAGCACCUGCCCAGCCCACUAAUGUACCUUCCACCCGGUCCCAGGUGCUGGGACUCUAGGUGCGCCCUGGGACCCCGCUGCUGGGGUGGGACGGGUGGGGCAGUGGGAGGCCCACGCCACAGCGGGAGGGGACGGAGUACGGGGUGCCCGCUGUCCACCCAAACCCAUCCCAGCACCCAGAGGCUGUGGGGGUCUGUGGAGAAAACAGCCUGUUCCUGUCCCGGGAGUGGGGAAGCACCAGCUGCUGGUGGGGUUCGGAGCCCCCACCCCUCGGACGGCCCCAUCUUCCAGCCUCGCUGACCCCCAGCCCAGGGCACAGGGCACGCUGGCCAGCAAGGUGGCAGGGGUGCCCGCCCCUGGUGUACGGCCCAUGUCUGGCUGCAUUGUUUCCCUGGGCCAGACGCUGCCCUCUGCCCCCCCGCUCGGUGCCGCCCACAGCUCACUUCCUCCCAGCCAGGCCUGUCUCAGGGUCAGGCUCCCAUGCAGAGAAAUGGAAAGCCAGGGCAAGUCCCCUGCCGCUUCCCAAGAAAGUCCCCACGGAGCCCCGCUCCCGCCCGACAUUUCCACGAGGCUCAGUUUAGCCCGAGCAGGAAAGGGGAUUUCUCUCUCCUGAGAACCCGAGAGUCUGACAGGCAGCCCCUAGUGUGGCUCCGGGGAGAGGGGCCCCGGGUGGCUGGGCUGCCCGAGAAGAGGAAAGGGGGUACCCUGCAAGCCCCACCACGGGGUGCUAGAGCCCCACCUGCCUCACACCUUCUAGAACGUUCCUGGGCAACAGGGUCUGCAGGUACCUUCCAGGAACCAGAGGCCCCUGUGGAAAGGCCCCUGGAGAGCCGGACACGCGUGCAGGAGAUGUGCUCGGCACCCCCCACUCUCAGCCCUGGCCUCACAGCGUCCCUGGGCCUCGGCAUUCCCUGGAGCCUCGUAAGGCUCCUAAGUCAGCCCUCCCAGGCCCUCCACCACCAGAGUCUCUCUCCCAUCCCCCAAUGGCCUUUCCUUUGAUCUUUGCUCCUUCAAGUUCAAGGAGUCUGUGAGGGCUUUAAACCGACUUUCAUCCAAUGAGCCCGUGAUGGGCAUCCACGCUGUGCUAGGCCCCUCCCUGCACAGGCCCUCAGGGAGGAGGCGUGGGGACAGCCUGUGCCAAGGCCCUGGAGCAGAGAGGUGCUUGGAGAUCAGAGCUCCGAGCUCAAAGAGGUCGAGGUCCCUGUCCAGGCAGGGUGGAGCGUGGCCUCGAGGGGCACUUCAGAGUGUGAUACACUCCACCCCGGGCGUGAAGAGACACCUGCCUGCAACUCCCAGGAGGCCAGGUGUCCCCUCCUGGCCCUGCUGGAGCCAGGACUCUCCCCGCUGACCUGGUGACUGCACUUUCACAUGGGGUUUCCCCAGAGACUGUGUCUGUGGCAAGGACUCUGACCAGGAAAUUCCCAGAGAACAGUCCGCGAGGGAGAAUUGGCCUCAGGCCAGGCCAGGCAAGGUCAGGCCUGAGGAGCCUGGCGUGGGCUCCCGCUGCGCCCAGGGCAGGAGAGCGCAGCGUCCCCUGCAUCAGCACGGGCCUCCCCUACAGGGACAGCACUUGUCUGCCUGUGCGCGGCCAGCCCGGGGUCAUACACUGACCUUCCGGGCCGUGGGCUGGCCCGUGGGACCAGGGGACAGCAGACUCGCUGUGGCCAGCGAGGGGCAGGGGGCAAAGCAAGGGUGACCAGGCCCCGGACGGCAGGUCACUGUCUGGGAAGCGACCCCAACUCUGAAGGCUGGAGGACCAGCCAGGGACGGAGGGCAGUCGCAGAGCAGGGCACAGCACCUGCAGGGCUCUGGCGCUCCAGGUCACUAGCUGCCCCGCCCGUGGGUGCAGGAGGAGGCCCCAAGCGUGUGGGGGUCAGGCAGGUGGCCGUGCAAGGAGGGGCUCUGAGCUGGAGAGGGGUGCAGGAACCUGGGUGGGGGGCACAGAGAAGUCUAGAGGGCAGGGAGCUGCAGGGCAGGGAACCCUGAGAGGGGAAGAGAGGCCCAGGGGUGCCCCAAGGGUAGGGGCCACACCCUGGCCUUAUUUAGAAUCGACAGCGCCUGGAGUGAAGGGAAGCCUGCGGAUUCUAUCCGUUCCAUCCCCACGGCCGCCCUGCACCAGAGGUCCUACCCCUGCCUGCCGCGCCCCACGCUGGUCCACACCGGUGAGGACAGGGUGGGCCAUGAGGCCUCACUCCAGAUCUCCAGUAUGGCAGCCUGGUCAAGUUCACGCACCAGUGCCAGCAGCCACCCAUUCCCGCAUCCUGGCUCAGUCCUGGGGGCUCCGGAGACAGCGUGGCAUGAGGGGCCACGGCUGGAGCGCGGGGGCGCUUGUGCACCGGGGCCUCCCGUCCACGCCUGCUAGUGCGCUCUCGCUCUCCUGAGACCCGCAUGCCUGGGGUCAUCAUCUGAAGGGAGCUCGGGGUCUGAGGAGGGGGGCAGAGAAGGGCACAGGGGCGCUGGGCCCCUGGGCGGAGCCCCCCACCUGCAGGGGCGCUGAGCUCAGGGGCAGGAAGCCAGGGCAUCCCGGCCACCCGGGCACCUAGUUCCUGCCCAGGGCUGCCCUCGGACACUGCCUGACCUCCCAUGUGCCUCCUUCUUCCAGGCGGGGCCUCCCGAAGCCGCUUCACCGGCCCCACAGCAGACAGACAGCCUUCUAGUCCCUGCCCUUGAGGUUGGGGACCCCCAGACAAGCGGGGCCCACACGGAACACGCAUGUGUUCUCCCAAAGUGACUGCACCGACCAGAGUCCCCAUUGCAGCGUCCUCUCCCAUUGGGUCCAGGACAUGGGGUCCUCUCUGACCUCUGGCCCCCACCUUGCUGGGGCCACCCACUCCCACACUGCCCCCUGCUGCUUCUCUUCCAGGAAAGACUCCAAAGUCGGCCUCCCAGGCCCCAAUGUCAUCUCAGAUGUAUCCUGGCAAGCACCAAACCCCCGUCACCCCCAGAAGGAGCACCCCAGCGCCCCUCAUUUCUGCUGGCUGGCAUUCUCGGCCCCACUGGCUACAGCGGGCCCACUCCUCCCGGCCCGCAGCUUGGCAUCCCUCCACAGCCACUAAGGGACGCUCCAGAUGCCACUCCACCGUGGCCUCCACGCUCUGGCCCCCGGGCAGCACCCCAGGGCCUCCGACAGAGCUCAGCCCCCAGCCCCACGACUGCCCUGUAUCUCGGCCUCCUGGCAGCUCUCCUCCCCGUUGCCCCACCUGCCUGCCCCCUCCCACCUGUGCCCAGGGUGGCGUCCGCUCGUGGGCAGGGAUGGGGGACCUGGCCCUGUUCUCUGGAGCCUGCUUGCUGAUAACCUGGCCACGUCAUCAUGUCCCGACACCGUCCGCACCUGCACCUGCCGCCCUGGACUAACCUGCCCUGACCUCCCGGCGCAUCGAGAAAUAGCUUCUUCACUCUCCCCACUUCACAGGCGAGGAAGCGGAGGCCCAGACCGCUGGGCAGCCCACCCAGGGCCAUACAGCACGGAGAACGGAGCUCGCGUGGAGUUAAGUGGCCCCUCGCCGUGCCAGGCUGACUCAGGAAAUGCCCCCAAAGGACAGCAGCUUGGGGGAGGAAAGCCCAGGCCACCCACGUGCUCCUGUCGACACAGACCGGGGAGGCCAGACGGGCGGAUGGGGCUGGGUGGGCAGCCGGGCAGUCGUGGACACGCGCUCCAUGACCGCCAGCCCCCGUGAGGGCAGCUGAGAGCCCAGGACCCCAGGAGGGCCUGCUGCCUCCAUGCACGGACCCGAGGGAGCCCCGGAGCACGCGUGUGGCAGCCACCGGCCUGGGGAGCUGGUGGCGCGGCUGCUGCCCCUGUCACGUGGGAGCUUCGCAGGACAGGGAGGAGGUGACAGGCCGGCGGAUGCGCGAGGGAGCCCUGCACCCACAGGGGCUGAGCAGCUGGACCUGACGCUCACGUUGUCAAAAUAGUUUCAGGGUUUGAAAAAGAAAGUCCACGUGCAAGGUACUGCUCUUGGUACUUCGAGGAAACAGCUAAAUUUCCAUAAUCCCCGGCCACUAACACGCCUGCUGAGACGCAUGUCCACACACCAUGUGUGUGCCCGGGGCUCGUGGCCCCGGCGGUGGUGGCAGGGGAGGAGCCGGCCCGGGAGCUCGAGGAAACCCGCCAGGCUCGGGGCUGCGGCCGCGGAACCAGGCCUCCCAGAGACCCAGCGACUGAGUAAUACGGCGACUUUCUUAGAAACCGAGAGUUUCAGAUCGUGACAGAGACGCCCAGAGGCACCGCGGCGGGGGGGGGGGGGGG